UACAGAGGGUGCGAGCGUUAAUCGGAAUAACUGGGCGUAAAGGGUGCGUAGGCGGUGAUGUAAGUGUGUUGUGAAAGCCCUGGGCUUAACCUGGGAACGGCAACACAUACUGCGUUACUGGAGUAGGUGAGAGGGGAGUGGAAUUUCCGGUGUAGCGGUGAAAUGCGUAGAGAUCGGAAAGAACACCAGUGGCGAAGGCGACUCCCUGGCACCAUACUGACGCUGAGGCACGAAAGCGUGGGGAUCAAACAGGAUUAGAAACCCUAGUAGU
rnacentral:rRNA from 1 species